GGAACAACACGGCCAGAUCUCCAGUAUCAGGAAUCAGGUCUGUUUCUAUGAAAACCUGCCUCAUGAGAGGACAGCCUGACAAAAUGCACAUCCCCCUUUCCAGGAGGCUGUCGUGAGCCUCCCCCAACAGGCCCAUGUCCACGGGGUCAUCACCAAGGCCACAGGGUGGUCAGGGCAGGGCUCCCUGCUCUGGGGGACGUGGCUGGGCUGCCUCGGCUGUCACUGGGACUGUUCUCAACUGAUGGCAACCCCCACGACAUGAUGCAGCCUCGUGACUCUGACUCCGCUUCUCUCCCCCGAGCCCCUCCCUGUACCGUCUCCGCAGGUAACCCAAAACUCACACCCCGAUGCUGGACCGCAGCUUCUGGACAUCUUUGGACUUCUUGAUUUCUUCCUUACAAAGCGCAAGCAGCCUCACACAGAAGGGAUGGCUGGAAGGAAGGCACAUCGUCAGAGCUGGCUGGAGGCUGCCCAGGCAACCUUACAAUAUAGUUGGGGGCAGAGCCUCGUCUCACUGGGCCCCUGGGUGAAGGCAACAGGACGGACCUCCCCCAGCGAGCAGGAAGUGGCCACCAUGCUAGGCCACCGCUAUGUCAGGUAAGGUGUCCUCUGACGACCCAUCCACAGAGACCCUGAGAGAGAACACGAACGAGAACACUCAUCCACAACAACAGCCACUUGGUCUCUUAUUUACAGUAAACAGAAAAGUAUUAUGAAAUCUUGGAAAGAAGACAA